rnacentral:rRNA from 1 species
CCAAUAGCGUAUAUUAAAGUUGUUGCAGUUAAAAAGCUCGUAGUUGAAUUUCGGGAUCAAGGAAUCGGUCAUGCCUUGGUAUGUACUGGUUUUAUUGGUUCUCACCUUCUAAAGAACCAUAAUGUCAUUCAUUUGAUGUUAUGGGGAAUUAGGACUGUUACCUUGAAAAAAUUAGAGUGUUUAAAGCAGGCUUACGCUUGAAUACAUUAGCAUGGAAUAAUGAAGUAGGACAUCAGAUUCUAUUUUGUUGGUUUCUAGGAUCGAUGUAAUGAUUAAUAGGGAUAGUUGGGGGCAUUAGUAUUCAAUUGUCAGAGGUGAAAUUCUUGGAUUUAUUGAAGACUAACUACUGCGAAAGCAUUUGCCAAGGAUGUUUUCAUUAAUCAAGAACGAAAGUUAGGGGAUCGAAGACGAUCAGAUACCGUCGUAGUCUUAACCAUAAACUAUGCCGACUAGGGAUCGGAUGAUGUUAAUUUUUUAAUGACUCAUUCGGCGCCUUACG